UUUGUUUACAUGUUAUUUCAGAAUAUUCACCAAAAUUUUAAACUAACAUUUUUCUUCUAAAAUUCUGUAUAUAAAUUAAAGUCGUUUUAUAUAUCAUUUUAUAUGAUUUAUUAUUUUUGGUGUCUUACAGAUAAUAAGGCAACUCCAAAGGGAGGAACUCUUCGAGCAAAAUGACACUCAUGGCAUGAACAAUGGAAUCGUGAGAGAAUAACUCUGCCGGCGGUCUUCUCUCCUCCUUCCUCACCUCCAUUCCGCUCCCUUGUUAGUUCUGCUGGUCAAGUUUCAUUUGUUUCCCAAAGAGCUGCCUGGUACUUACAAACCCAUCUCAUUCAUCUUCAAGAUUGGCAAAUCAGCAGAAUGUUUCAAAAAGAAGAGUCAAUACUGUCAGCACAAAGACGGGUCAUAUCUCCGAUACGUUUAAGUUCUUCGUAAAUGUGUUGAUUUACAGGAUUUCGUUACUUUUGGUUAAUUGUCCUCCAUAGGAGUAUUAAUUUAUUAAUCUUUGCAACUUAUUAUGUAAUUAAAUGUAAUUUUCAAUAGAUUCUUUAAAAGUUGUAUUUGUGAUUGCA